UACGGAGGGCGCGAGCGUUGUCCGGAAUCACUGGGCGUAAAGGGCGCGUAGGCGGCUCGUCAAGUUGCUGGUGAAAUCCCGCGGCUCAACUGCGGGGCUGCCGGCAAGACUGUCGGGCUCGAGCACGGUAGAGGCAGAUGGAAUUCCCGGUGUAGCGGUGGAAUGCGUAGAGAUCGGGAAGAACACCAGUGGCGAAGGCGGUCUGCUGGGCCGUUGCUGACGCUGAGGCGCGACAGCGUGGGGAGCAAACAGG
rnacentral:rRNA from 1 species